UGGGGAAUUUUGGACAAUGGGCGCAAGCCUGAUCCAGCAAUGCCGCGUGCAGGAAGAAGGCCUUCGGGUUGUAAACUGCUUUUGUACGGAACGAAACGGUCCUGGUUAAUACCCGGGGCUAAUGACGGUACCGUAAGAAUAAGCACCGGCUAACUACGUGCCAGCAGCCGCGGUAAUACGUAGGGUGCAAGCGUUAAUCGGAAUUACUGGGCGUAAAGCGUGCGCAGGCGGUUGUGUAAGACAGGCGUGAAAUCCCCGGGCUCAACCUGGGAAUUGCGCUUGUGACUGCACAGCUGGAGUGCGGCAGAGGGGGAUGGAAUUCCGCGUGUAGCAGUGAAAUGCGUAGAUAUGCGGAGGAACACCGAUGGCGAAGGCAAUCCCCUGGGCCUGCACUGACGCUCAUGCACGAAAGCGUGGGGAGCAAACAGGAUUAGAUACCCUGGUAGUCCACGCCCUAAACGAUGUCAACUGGUUGUUGGGUCUCUUCUGACUCAGUAACGAAGCUAACGCGUGAAGUUGACCGCCUGGGGAGUACGGCCGCAAGGUUG
rnacentral:rRNA from 1 species